UCCCUGGGAGGCCAAGCCAGCCAGACCUGUUCCAUGUUCCCUCAAUUCCAUGGGGCCCCACAAUUCCCAUUGGUCCCUUGCUUCCAUGAGAACCUGAGGUGCCAUAAUGCCCCCUUGGUGACAGGAGGCCCUGAAGGGUCAGAAUGGUCUCCAUGGGUCCAUCAGGCCCCACAGAGUCAUAAAGGUCUCUGGGUUCCAUGAAGCCUCGCUGUGUUACCAUGGCCCCUUGGUUCCAUGGGCUCCAGUGGUGCCAAAAUGAUCCCCUUGGUUUCAUGAGGUCUCCACAGUGUCACAGUGAUCUUGGGAAGGAAAGAACCAAGCCCCAGUGUCGCAGGGGCAGCCACCAGAGGCCAAGAGUCAUAAGCUGACAAGGAAACAACUUUGGGAAAACUUUGCAAAACUCUAAUCCUUGAUCUGAAAGAGAAGAGAGACAACCUGGGACUUGAGACGUCAGAAGAUGGGAAAGAAGCCUAGGUGGGUGUGGGAACUCAGUACAUCACUCCGGAUGUCCAGAGCUACCAAGACAACCCUUGGGGAGCUCGGAGGUCCUGGAAUGUUGCCAAAAGUAUCUGGUGGCUUGACUUUGAUCCUUCUAAAGAAAUGACCCCAGAAUGUGAGGAAAUGAGAGAAUUUCAAGUUUGAAUGAUGAGGGGAUGAUAUUCACUAGAUAAAACUUAAAUUAUAAUGCACUGUACAGGGGGGUUUUGUGUGUUGUACAAGGGUGUUUGGAAUUCUGCACAUGGGGGACGGGAGUCCCAAGAUGGAGGGAUUUGGGUGUGCCCUGUCCUUCUUCUUUCUUCUCCUUGGCAUCCAUAUUCAGGAUGAUGUUGGCAUGUGUGGAUUGGUUCAUAGUGAAGGUGCACUUGCCAACAAGGGCGAAAAGUAUUGGAAAUUGAAGGUACAUAUCUAAUAUGUAAUUUUCACUAUAAAAGAGAUAACCGCCCCGUGGGCGGGAGAGAGUGCCCUUGGCUGUCUUGCUGAGCAGACCUCGGCUGGACAGACAGAAAACUUUGUAGAUAAGGAACAAUAAACUCAACUGAAGACCAAAAGCAAGAGUCCAGACUCCUUCUUCGAAAGUGCGGCCUGCCCAGAACCACCUUUUCCUGUGCUGGGGCAGAGAAAAUAACAGCCAACCCCGACAAGUGGGAAGAGAUGAUGGAGUGGCCUUUGGCUGGACUUUUUCUUGUAUAGCCAUAGACUGAACCAAUUUUCCUGUAACAGAGAGACUGCAUUUAGGAGGAUGCAAUGGCUUGAGCCAAGAGAGUGACCUGCUGCAGUGACGUGAUGUGCAGGAGUGAAGUGAACAGAGAAAGAUGAGGAGGGUGUGGUGGUGCCCUCUGUCUUCAAAGAAGAAGAAGAAGAUCUCUGUUCUCAAGACCCUUGGCCCCAGGGGAGAUGAAAAUGGGGGGGACUGUUGUCCCAAAAUGAGAAAAACUGUCAUUCUCUGGUACUUGGCAAAGCAUCCUUAAAAGGAGCCCUAGAAGCAGUCUUGGUCCAUGGACAGUGGUGAGAGCAUGGAAGGAAGAGGUCACAAUGGCAGAUUUUCUCUGGGUGGUGCCAUGUGUGAGAUGGAAGUAUGAGAGGUUUCAACUGUGUUUCCUGGGGAAGACUAUGGUACAAGAGAGACUCCUCUCUCCCUUGAUGAACUGAGAAUUGUUAUCUGAGAGGUGGUAACUUGACUGAGAAUCCAAGGUUUUGUCUCACUGUGCUUUGGUGGAAAUUGGGUGGGGAGAGGAGGAAUGUUUUGGAAGGUUUUAAUUUUGAAUUUUGUGUUUCUUUUAUUAUAGUUAUAGGUUAAUAAAGUUUUUUUUCCCUUUAUUUCUAAGCUUGAGCCUGCUCUGCUCUGUUUCUGCUCACAUCUCACAGUAACCAUUUGAGAAAAAUAUGUUUUCAUGGGAGCAUUGGCACUGCUCCAGCACCAACCCAUGACACAGAGGAAGGCCAGAAGGGCAGGGAAGACACCAGGAAUUGGUGACAUUUUCUCCUGUCACAGCCAUGACUCAGGGGAUAGGAUUAAACCUGGAAAGGCUGAGGUGCAUUACUGACCUCCUGCUGCCUAAGGAAAGAAAGAGAAAUGAAGAUAAUUUGUCCUUUUUUUGGGUUGUCCAGUUCAAAAAAGACACUGAGUCAACCAAGAAGGUUGGGAAAGCUGGAUAUACAAGGAUUGACAUGGGGAAGCUGGGAGUAGAAGAUGUGCCCAUACUCAUGGUGAAGGAAAAUCCUGUUAUUGGAUGAAAUUCCCUAAGGCAAGGAUCCCUUGAGAGAAGAUGGAUCCCAACUCUUGGAGAUACUAAAAUUUUGACUGGAAAUUGGGUGACCUGAACUCCUUAGCCCUAUUUGGAACAGGUUUUUGGA